rnacentral:rRNA from 1 species
AUUGAACGCUGGCGGCAGGCUUAACACAUGCAAGUAGAACGAGUGGCGGACGGGUGAGUAAUGUCUGGGAAACUGCCUGAUGGAGGGGGAUAACUACUGGAAACGGUAGCUAAUACCGCAUACCAUCGGAUGUGCCCCUAUGGGAGUAGCUAGUCGGUGGGGUAAGGGCUCACCUAGACGACGAUCCCUAGCUGGUCUGAGAGGAUGACCAGCCACACGGGAACUGAGACACGGUCCAGACUCCUACGGGAGGCAGCAGCGGGGAAGAGGGCACGAGGGGCGCAAGCCUGAGGCAGCCAUCCCGCGUGUAUGAAGAGGGCCUGCGGGCUGUAAAGUACUUUCAGCGGGGAAGCGUUACCCGGAGAAGAAGCACCGGCUAACUCCGUGCCAGCAGCCGCGGUAAUAC